UACCUAUAAGACUGUGGAUAACUUCGGGAAACCGGAGCUAAUACCGGAUAAUAUUUUGAACCGCAUGGUUCAAAAGUGAAAGACGGUCUUGCUGUCACUUAUAGAUGGAUCCGCGCUGCAUUAGCUAGUUGGUAAGGUAACGGCUUACCAAGGCAACGAUGCAUAGCCGACCUGAGAGGGUGAUCGGCCACACUGGAACUGAGACACGGUCCAG
rnacentral:rRNA from 1 species